rnacentral:rRNA from 1 species
GGGCCCGCACAAGCGGUGGAGUAUGUGGUUUAAUUCGAUGCAACGCGAAGAACCUUACCAGGGUUUGACAUCCUGCGAACCUCUUGGAAACGAGAGGGUGCCUUCGGGAACGCAGUGACAGGUGGUGCAUGGCUGUCGUCAGCUCGUGUCGUGAGAUGUUGGGUUAAGUCCCGCAACGAGCGCAACCCACGUCUUUAGUUGCCAGCAUUUAGUUGGGCACUCUAGAGAGACCGCCGGUGAUAAACCGGAGGAAGGUGUGGAUGACGUCAAGUCAUCAUGCCCCUUACAUCCUGGGCUACACACGUACUACAAUGCUACGGACAAAGGGCAGCAAGUUCGCGAGGACAAGCAAAUCCCAUAAACCGUGGCUCAGUUCAGAUCGUAGGCUGCAACUCGCCUACGUGAAGGAGGAAUC